GACGAACGCUGGCGGCGUGCUUAACACAUGCAAGUCGAACGGAAAGGCCCUGCUUUUGUGGGGUGCUCGAGUGGCGAACGGGUGAGUAACACGUGAGUAACCUGCCCUUGACUUUGGGAUAACUUCAGGAAACCGGGGCUAAUACCGGAUAGGAGCUCCUGCUGCAUGGUGGGGGUUGGAAAGUUUCGGCGGUUGGGGAUGGACUCGGGGCUUAUCAGCUUGUUGGUGGGGUAGUGGCUUACCAAGGCUUUGGCGGGUAGCCGGCCUGAGAGGGUGACCGGCCACAUUGGGACUGAGAUACGGCCCAGACUCCUACGGGAGGCAGCAGUGGGGAAUAUUGCACAAUGGGCGGAAGCCUGAUGCAGCAACGCCGCGUGCGGGAUGACGGCCUUCGGGUUGUAAACCGCUUUCGCCUGUGACGAAGCGUGAGUGACGGUAAUGGGUAAAGAAGCACCGGCUAACUACGUG
rnacentral:rRNA from 1 species